UACAGAGGGUGCAAACGUUGCUCGGAAUUAUUGGGCGUAAAGCGCAUGUAGGCGGCAUAGUAAGUUCACUGUGAAAGCCCUUGGCUCAACCAAGGAAGUGCAGUGAAAACUGCUAAGCUCGAGUUCUGAAGAGGGUCGCGGAAUGGCCAGUGUAGAGGUGAAAUGCGUAGAUAUCAGGAGGAACACCGAUGGCGAAGGCAGGUCUCUGGGUAGAUACUGACGCUGAGGUGCGAAAGCCAGGGGAGCAAACGGG
rnacentral:rRNA from 1 species